GACGAACGCUGGCGGCGUGCUUAACACAUGCAAGUCGAACGAUGAAACCUAGCUUGCUAGGUCGAUUAGUGGCGAACGGGUGAGUAACACGUGACUAACCUGCCCCUUUCUCUGGGAUAACGCUCCGAAAGGAGUGCUAAUACCGGAUACUCACACCGAGGCACAAGCCUUGGUGUGGAAAGUUUUUCGGAAAGGGAUGGAGUCGCGGCCUAUCAGCUUGUUGGUGAGGUAACGGCUCACCAAGGCGACGACGGGUAGCCGGCCUGAGAGGGCGACCGGCCACACUGGGACUGAGACACGGCCCAGACUCCUACGGGAGGCAGCAGUGGGGAAUAUUGCACAAUGGGCGCAAGCCUGAUGCAGCGACGCCGCGUGAGGGAUGAAGGUCUUCGGAUUGUAAACCUCUUUCAGUAGGGACGAAGCGAAAGUGACGGUACCUAAAGAAGAAGCACCGGCUAACUACGUGCCAGCCGCCGCGGUAA
rnacentral:rRNA from 1 species